rnacentral:rRNA from 1 species
AUUGAACGCUGGCGGCAGGUCUAACACAUGCAAGUCGAGCGGAUGAAGGGAGCUUGCUCCUGGAUUCAGCGGCGGACGGGUGAGUAAUGCCUAGGAAUCUGCCUGGUAGUGGGGGAUAACGUCCGGAAACGGGCGCUAAUACCGCAUACGUCCUGAGGGAGAAAGUGGGGGAUCUUCGGACCUCACGCUAUCAGAUGAGCCUAGGUCGGAUUAGCUAGUUGGUGGGGUAAAGGCCUACCAAGGCGACGAUCCGUAACUGGUCUGAGAGGAUGAUCAGUCACACUGGAACUGAGACACGGCCCAGACUCCUACGGGAGGCAGCAGUGGGGAAUAUUGGACAAUGGGCGAAAGCCUGAUCCAGCCAUGCCGCGUGUGUGAAGAAGGUCUUCGGAUUGUAAAGCACUUUAAGUUGGGAGGAAGGGCAGUAAGUUAAUACCUUGCUGUUUUGACGUUACCAACAGAAUAAGCACCGGCUAACUUCGUG